rnacentral:rRNA from 1 species
CUUUGAUGGAUGGCGACCGGCGCACGGGUGAGUAACACGUAUCCAACCUGCCGACAACACUGGGAUAGCCUUUCGAAAGAAAGAUUAAUACCGGAUGGCAUAGUUUUCCCGCAUGGGAUGAUUAUUAAAGAAUUUCGGUUGUCGAUGGGGAUGCGUUCCAUUAGGCAGUUGGCGGGGUAACGGCCCACCAAACCUACGAUGGAUAGGGGUUCUGAGAGGAAGGUCCCCCACAUUGGAACUGAGACACGGUCCAA